UCGUCCCUGACAAUAGCAGGGACCAAGGAAUAGAGUAGUCACUCAGGCUGGGGGAGGAAGGCUGUGGGACUGGGCUCAAGCCUGUGGAGGGUGAUCGUCUUCAGCCACUUCAAGGCCACAAUAGCUGAUUCUGGAGGUUGACCUAGGAGUGGAAGAAUAAAAUCGGGUUUGAGUUUCUCUUCUGCUUGUGUUGUCCCAUGCAGGGAGUUGUGCAGAGGGACAAGAUAAUAAUAAUUGAAUGCUAGGUAGGAAAUGUAGAUUGUUGACAAAAUCUCUAUGCCUCUCAUUUCAGCCUUUCCCUCCCCACCCCAGGUCACCCCGCCCAAAGCCUAGAUAAUGCCAGUGGAAUCCACAGAUUCUGCUGGGGUCUCAGUCACCACAACCUCAGAUGUCCCCAGGGACCUGACUAGAACCCUUGCACUAACCUCCUCAAGACAAGCAGUUCGCCCCUUCUGUUUCCUGGUGGUGUGCCACGCCCAACAACCUUUCCAAUCUGCAGAGAGACCAGAGCCAGUGAGAACGGAGCACUUGAUGGAUUGACUGUUGAUUUGUUGCUUUCCUGAUUCACCAUUCCGGCUAUCAGGCAGCCCCCACGCCCACACCGACCUCUACUGAUCGGAGGAAACUUCCUCCCUCGCUUCAAGCGGAGCCACCUGCUAUAGCAGACCUGCAGGAUGACAGAUCGAAAACAUGGGGAGUAAGUGCUGUUGAGAGAGGAGGAUUAUGAACAAACUAUCCGAUAGGUUUCCCUGCUGUCAUUUCCCCCACUUCCCCCCCACCACACACACACAAAGCACGCCAUUUCGCCACAGUCCGGGGAGUGCAACAAAUACAUUCGGACUCAAACCUGUACCUAGAUUAUUACCUUCUCUGCCUUCUCCCCACCCCCGCGGCCAACCCCGUCCCUCCUAGAGUCCCCAGAUGGUCUUACCCUCAAAUCGACCUUCACCGAUUAGGAUUAAUUUCCUUCCUCUUCUUUUGCCUGGCGUUGUGCCGCAACCUACAGAAAGACUGGCCACCCGGGAGAGGCUUGGACCCACUAGACACAGAGCCAUGGUCAGGAAGACACAGCCACAGGCAGAAAGACGGGAAACUGCCGCCACUGCGUGCUUGGUGGACGGACUAGUCCCCAGAACACAAAACUCUUUUCUAAUUCGGAGGCCUGGUUGUCAGAGGUUUCCCACCCUUAUUACCUCUCUUGGGGUUCUGCUGACAUAUCACGUUGCAUCUCACCACCCCCGCCCCCAUAUCCAGCCAUUCCCCUCCGGCACUGUCCUGGUGGACUAGGGGCCAACACCCAGGCCACAGCUCCCUUUCCGGAUUGCGGGCCUAGGCUCCCAGCAGAUUCCCAUCUCCCGAUCUCUGAGCUUUUCCCCAAACACUCCCCAGCUCACCGUUUCGCAGCAUCGAAAUGGGGUGCAGGCGGGACAUAUGUCUUGGAAAGCGGGCGGCGAGUGGGAGAGACGACGGAGGCGCCUCAGUACCCGCGACGGUCUCGGCCCUACACCCUCUAGCACCCUGACUUUAUGGAAUCUCCCAGGCACUGACCUGCAGGGAUCCGGGACAAUUUUCUUCUCCUCUUCCUUUUUCCCUCCGCCGCAGGCCCGCCCGCCCUCAGGGCAAUGGGGAGCUGGUACUCAGACGGGAACAACGACCAGGACAAGAAGGACUUCUGCACACGUCAGCUCUUGGUCACGUGAGAGCUACGUCAUCCACCAACUCGGGUCCCCAAUUUCCCCUCCCACCAGCAGUGCGGCAGAAGAGGGCCCGCCCCCCUCCUUUCCCUCCCCCACACCAGGCCUUGUUACUCUUUCUUCUUCGAUAAUCUCAUCACCUUGUAGUUGUGUUUCCCUUCCACCGAUUACCAGAAAGGGACGACAUCUUCCCCUGGGGCUACGGGCCACUUGUACUUUUUAUGAAAAAUUGCCUCUUCCUUCCCUAGGCUCCUGGGACAGCAGCCUCUCCCUCCACCUUCCCUCCCCCGAGCUAUUAAAGUCUACCAUUUCCUCUGAAAUCUAGUCCCAGAUCUGAAAGGAACAAGCGAUCGGAAAAGAAAAUCUGGAAUGAGA